rnacentral:rRNA from 1 species
UACGGGGGGAGCAAGCGUUGUUCGGAUUUACUGGGCGUAAAGGGCGCGUAGGCGGUCACGACAAGUCAGUUGUGAAAUCUCCGGGCUUAACUCGGAAAGGUCAACUGAUACUGUGCGACUAGAGUGCAGAAGGGGCAACUGGAAUUCUCGGUGUAGCGGUGAAAUGCGUAGAUAUCGGGAGGAACACCUGAGGCGAAGGCGGGCUACUGGGCCGAUACUGACGCUGAUGCGCGAAAGCCAGGGGAGCGAACGGG